UACGAAGGGGGCUAGCGUUGCUCGGAAUCACUGGGCGUAAAGCGCACGUAGGCGGAUUGCUAAGUCAGGGGUGAAAUCCUGGAGCUCAACUCCAGAACUGCCUUUGAUACUGAGGGUCUUGAGUCCGGGAGAGGUGAGUGGAACUGCGAGUGUAGAGGUGAAAUUCGUAGAUAUUCGCAAGAACACCAGUGGCGAAGGCGGCUCACUGGCCCGGUACUGACGCUGAGGUGCGAAAGCGUGGGGAGCAAACAGG
rnacentral:rRNA from 1 species